UACAGAGGAUGCAAGCGUUAUCCGGAAUGAUUGGGCGUAAAGCGUCCGCAGGUGGUUUUGUAAGUCUGCUGUUAAAGCGUUAGGCUCAACCUAAUAAGGGCAGUGGAAACUAUGAGACUAGAGUAUGUUAGGGGUAGAGGGAAUUCCCAGUGUAGCGGUGAAAUGCGUAGAUAUAUGGAGGAACACCAGUGGCGAAGGCGACUCUCUGGUCUGUAACUGACGCUGAGGCGCGAAGGCGUGGGGAGCAAACAGG
rnacentral:rRNA from 1 species